AGAUUACAGCCACAUUAUUGGACAGCCAUCUGAUCAGUGAUACAUCUAACCUGAAAUCAACCGAGCAGUGGAAGAACAGCCUAGACAUUGUUAACAGAAUUUCAAAGAUUGGGUAUAAUUACCAACUCUUCUCAACUAAAAGCGAGACUUGUCAUUGGAGGGAAAACAUGCUGAAAAUCUCGCAAUAUCCCAACAGAACUGGCUUGAACUACGAUGGAUCAACAACAAUACCCUGUGGCAGAUACCAAAAUCCAUUUGGAUCAAAGAUCAGAUCACAUCAGGGCUCAGAGAACCCCAUGCAUCAUCGAGUGGCUUCUCCUCAGAACAGAAGACACCAUACUGAUGGGAAAAUAUGUUCAACACCUUUAACUCUGCCUGUGUUGAGCAGGUGGGAGUGUGAGAUCAACGCUCCUCUUGACCCCACAUCUUAUUUGCUCCAAGGAACUGAACUUACAGUUGUUCUGGACCAAGUGGCAUUGAGAGUGCCUUGGUGAUGACAAGAAACAAAAUACAUACAUCUAUGAUGGACAUUUUGAUACAAUUUAUCACUUCUAUAAUACAUACAGUUGGUCACUUGUGUAGCAUUAUAAUAAUGAUAACCCAAUACUCCCAUUUAAUUACACAAACAAGCAUCGACCUAGUUUGCAUAGCUAAAAUCUGAGUGAAGUCUGUGUUUUCAUCUAAUAUUGGGCUUUGCACUGUAAAUCGAUCCCUACACUGCAUCAUACUGAUGCUACAGUGUCAGUACAUGUAAAUAUGGCCUUGCACUCUUAACCAUUUGAUGUGUUCAAACAUAUUUUAAAUACCUUCCAAAUAAAUAAUUUAUUGUUUGUACAAUAUAAUAUAUCACAAAGUGAUGGCUACAGGAAAGGGAAUGUAUUUGAGAGAUACAGUAGCAAGAAAAAAUGAUUUUUUGUUAUUUGCUGGUUUUCUGCAUUAAACGGUCAUAAAAUGUGAUCUCAUCUUCACCAAAGUCACAAGUAUAGACAAAACACAAUGUUCUUAAGCUAACAACACACAAACAAGUAUAAUCUUUCAUGUCUUUAUUGAACACAUCCCAUUAAACAUUCACAGUGCUGUGGAUAAAGUAAGUGAAUCCUUGGAUUUAUUAACUGGGCAGCUUUGGAAGCAAUAACCUCAACCAAGCAUUUCCGAUAGCUGCGAAUUAGAACUGCACAACAUUCAGAAGGAAUUUUGGACCAUUCUUCCUUACAGAACUGCUUCAGUUCAACCAUUUACUUAGGAUGUCUGGUGUGAAUGGCUCUCUUAAGGUCAUUCCACAGCAUCUCUAUUGGGUUAAGGUCUAGGCUCUGACUGGGCUACUACAUAAGGUGGAAUUUGUUUUGUUUUUAAGCCAUUCUGUAGUGUAUUUACAUCUAUGUUUAGGGUCAUUGUCCUGCUGCAUCACCCAACUUCUACUGAGCUCCAGCUGGUGAACAGCCACCUUGGCAUUAUCCUGUAGGAUAUCUUGAUAAACUUGGGAAUUCAUUUUUCCCUUGAUGAUGGCAAGCGUUCCAGGCCCCGAAGCAGCAAAGCAGCCCUAUAUCAGGAAGCUCCCUCCACCAUACUUCACCGUUGCGGUGUUUUCAUGUUGGUAUGCGGUGCCCUUUUUAUGCCAUACGUAGUGCUGUGUGUUAUUCAUAAACAAUUCAACCUUAGGUUCAUCAAUCCAAAAACAUUUUCCCAGUUGCACUGUGGUGUCAAGGUGGUCUUUGGCAAACUUUAGGCGUGCAGCAAUGUUUUUGUUGGAAAGCAGCGUCUUCCAACAUGGUCUCCUGCCAUGGAAACCAUGCCUGUUUAAUGAUUUCUGUAUGGUAGACUCAUGAACAGAGAUUUUAACCAGUUCCAAUGAUUCCUUCAAGUCUUUAUCUGUCACUCUAGGGUUCUUUUUACCUCAUUGAGCAUUCUGCGGUGUGCCCUUUAAGUUAUCUUGGCUGGACGGCCACUUCUAGGGAGAGUAGCCACAGUACUAAAUCAUCUCCAUUUAUAGACAGUUUGUCUAACUGUGGACAGAUAAAUAUCUAAGCUCUUCAAGAUAACUUUAAUUCUUUCCAGCUUUAUGCAAAGCAACAAAUCUUGAUUGUAGGUCUUCUGAGAUCUUUUUUUGCGAGGCAUUUUCCACAUCAGAAAACGCUUCUUGUGAAUAGCAAACUCAAAUGUUUGAAUACUUUUUAGUCAAAGUAGCUCUAACCCACACCUCCAAUCUCGUUUUAUUAAUUGGAUGUCAAUUUUGCCAGCUCCUGCCUCUAAUUAGCUUUUGUUGACAUCAUUAGCCUAGGGGUUCACAUACUUUUUCCCAACCUACACUGUGAAUGUUUGAAUGAUGUAUUCAAUAUGUACAAAAACAACACAAUAAUGUGAUAUAAGUUAAAACAGAUUGUGUUUGUUCAUAAUUGUAACUUAGUAGAACCUCAACCUGAUUUUAAGACAUUUUUACAUAAAUGUAGGUAAUUCCAAAGGGUUCACAUACUUUCUCUUGCCACAGUAGCUCUUGGUUUCAGUAAGCCAAGCUUAUUCUGCGUUAUAGAUGCAUGAAAUACUGCUAACUCAAACUGUCAGUCUGGUUUGUUCUCUUGACACAUCAUUUUAUCACUCACCUUAAUCAAAUGAAACACACUCUCUGAUUUACUUGUUUCUGCAUAUUUAUAAUUCAGCAGAUGCUCUUGUUAUCAGGUGUCAUCAAUGAUGUACAUCCAUUCUGGACUAUUUUGUAUAGAAAAUGCAAUUACCCUGCCUCAUUAUGAUUACUUAUUUAAGCCCAUGUAUUAGACAUAUGUUGCUUACAAGAGAUGCAUAAAACUAACUGAACUGCUGUUAAAAUUUGUUAUACAUUUGAACGAUAACAUAUGUAUAAAAUGUGUUACCCAUUAGCGUUGUAUGUAUUAAAUAAUUUAAAUAU